GAGUUUGAUCCUGGCUCAGGAAGCCUUGAGAAAGGGCGUGCCUAACACAUGCAAGUCGAGCGGAGGAUUUAAGAUGUUUACAUUGAGAAUCCUUAGCGGCGGACGGGUGAGUAACACGUGGGUAACCUGCCUCAAAGUGGGGGAUAGCCUUUCGAAAGGAAGAUUAAUACCGCAUAAGCCUCCGGUGCCGCAUGGCGCUGAAGGAAAAGGAGCAAUUCGCUUUGAGAUGGACCCGCGGCGCAUUAGCUAGUUGGUGAGGUAACGGCUCACCAAGGCCACGAUGCGUAGCCGACCUGAGAGGGUGAUCGGCCACAUUGGAACUGAGUCUCGGUCCAGACUCCUACGGGAGGCAGCAGUGGGGAAUAUUGCACAAUGGGCGAAAGCCUGAUGCAGCAACGCCGCGUGAGUGAUGAAGGCCUUAGGGUUGUAAACCGCUGUCGAAGGGGAGGAAACUGUAGUGGGUUCACCCAUUAUAU
rnacentral:rRNA from 1 species